CAUGCAUUUCCCGACUGUAUGUCCCAUUAUAUAGUAGCCGACAGAUUUUACGUUCAAAGCUACUUCUUGCUAUCAAAACCAAGAAUUUUGGCUUUGUUUAAUUAAUUAAUAAUGUAUCUUUAUAAGUGACAGUAGCCCUAGUUCUUAAAUUAUUUUGUUUUCUCAUUUUGAGAUUCCUAUACUGAGAAAGAGCUUCAGAAUAAUACAGUAAUAACUACAUUAAUUAUGAAGGUUGCCGAGUGCCAAGUUUGUAGAAAUUGUUUCUAAUGACAUUACUAAGUCAGCCUUGGUCUCAUUACAUUUAUUCUCCUGAUCUAUUCCUGACAUUCUGUUAUCUUCAGUUAGCAUGACUAUGUUUUGCUCAAAUGUUAGCCUGUCUAUUUCCUUUAGUUUGGUUUAAGGAAUUGGUUUGUCGAUUUGCAUAUGUUUGUGAAGUUGUCUUCAAAUGCACAUUUUUUCUGCAAAGACUAUUUUGGCAUAUGAAGUGUUGCUUAAGUUGGUAGUGGACAUUUUCUAUCGAGAGGGAUAUUAAAAUCCCUUAAAGAUCUUGUAAAGUGUUUACUGGAAAUUCUCAUCUAGUUUCUUCACUUGUGUUAGUGGAUUACUUUUCACUAACUGCAGAGUGGUUAAUGGAAACAGCUAUUUCAGGAUUUUCAAUACCAUAUUUAACAUUCAAUUUUAAAUAUAGUGGCCUAUCCUCUAAAAGAAUGAUAUUGUUCAAUAUGUCAAAGAAACUUUUUAUUAGAAUAUCAAGUUACUUAUUUUAAAAGUGCUCGUCGGUGUGGUAUUAUGUUGUUUGUGUGCAUGCUAAAAACCACUGUGUACUGUUUUUUUGUUGUUUUUUUUGGAGGGGGGGCAUAUGAUAGGUUUGUGCAAGUUACACUUAUUUCUCAUUCUUUCUUUUCUUUUAGCAUCUACCCUUUCAUGUUCUUCUCCCUGAUAAGACACAAAGUGAGAAAGCAGAAUGGUUAUUUAUUAUAUCGCAGUUUUAAUGUGAGGAAGAACAGAUUGUUUCCUCCUCAACUUGUUGUAGGGUGGAGACUGGAAUGAAAGUUUUCCAAAGAACCUGGCAACCAAAUGAUCCUUUUAAAAAAAAAAAAAAAUUGGCAUACUUUGUACUUGUGAAAUUUGCACUGAAUUAUGACUGAAAGUGCAGCAUUCCCAUUCAUGGAUAAUCUGAGUGGCGUGGGAUGUAGAGGGGAAAUUCUUCCGCAUUAUUAGCCAUGCUCCAUCACUGGGUGACUGUAUCUUGGUACUAUUUGAUAUUGUGAUAUUAAAGCUAAAACAUCAUAAGUUACCAUCUUGAAUGUUCUCUUUUGUCAAGAUGGUAUUAGUGAUAAAGCCAACUUUGAAACCUAUAGAAUUUUUUUUCCUUAGUAUAAAAAAAGUUGUCUUGUGACUUAAAAGAUAUCAUUGUGGAAACUUGCCCAUGUCAAUCUUUUAAAGUAUAUUGGGUUAAAAGGACUUAUAAGUUGUAACUAAUUUAGAGUAUGUAUGAAUUUCUAAUGUAAGAAUAUUUUGUAGGAUACAGUUUCAUCUCUAAUUUCAGUGUCAAUAGUUAAAUGUUGGAAUUGACCUGUACAUACAAACCAGUACCAUUCAUACGGCAUCAUAAAUUAUGCUUAUCUGGUAGAUCUGUCCAUGGACUGAUUCAGGAAAUAGAGAUGGAACUUUAUUCAUUGAAUCACCAAGAUAGUUUCCAUUAUGAUGGGACGUAAAUAGGUAUUUGUAAUAUAUAUUUUUAUACAAAGAUUGAGCUUUCAUACCUCUGUACAACUACCAUGGCAGGAGGUAGGCAUACAUGUGUGUUCAAUACUUCCUACUAGACUCCAAUUUUUUAAAAAGUAAAAACAUGUGAUGUGCUAGCUUAAUCUUUGUGCUGUAAGACUUGGCGAAAGCUUUGUGUUCACUGAAAAAUGAAUUAAAGGAAGACAUUCAGGAAA